rnacentral:lncRNA from 1 species
CGGCCCUCGGCCAGAGCAGGAGCUUCCCGCGGGCAGCGCCGGCGCUGCGGCUCAAGGGCCCUCGGACUGGACGUUCCCUUCAGAAGCAGGCCUCGGGCUGUGUCUUGGUGAUGAUCCCGUUUGGCUGUCACCAAACUCGGGACAGUCUCCCGGAGCGAGAUGUGGGAAUGUUACCACUCUUCAUUUUCUCCAAGCUGGGUCCUGCUCUCAGACAUUGGCCAAGGACUCUGGGAGGGCCGAAUCACGACUGGAAGUGUCCGGCCCUGCUCAACCCAGGCCACGUUGUUGGAGAGUAAAUUAUGUCCAGGCGUUUAAAACAUUCUAACCCGAGAAGUCGAUGUAUUUCCUACUUCCUCUUUCUUCCCACCGCUCC